rnacentral:lncRNA from 1 species
UGGUUGCCCAUUUGAAAGUCUUGUUAAUAAAAGUUAUUCAGGCUUCAUUUGACAUCAGUUUUUUUAGUUUUUUUUCUUAUUUUUUGACUUCAAAUAAGCAAAAAAACUAAUCAAAGUUGGCUUUUUUGCUUUUUUGUUUUUAUUUUUUUGCUUAAUUUUAGCUAAACUAAAGUCACAAAAAUAAAAAAUUAAAAAUUCUUAGCCUUUUUAAUAACAAGUUGAGCCUCAGUGUUUUUAAAGCAAUAAUUUUCUUCUUACAUAAAAUGGGUCUUACUGAAUUUAACACUUGCAGAAUUCACGUUUUAUGUGAGAUGAGAAGCAUUAAUUUAGAGCACUUAAUAAUUACUGAUUCAAUAACAGUUACUUAGGAUAUGAAUAAUGAUUAAUUAAUAUCCAGUGAUUUAUACUUCUUUUUCUCUUCAUUUGCACUCCAUCUUUUGCUUUCGUUAUUUGAUAAAUUUACCAAAAAAAUUAUUUUUACUAAAAGAUUUUUACUACAUGAAGUGAUAUUUUUAUAAAUUUAUUUUAAUAAAAACAAAAAAUAAAAUGCAAAUGAAGAGAAUAGUGCGUGAAAAUGGCUAACCUAGGUAAUUCAAAUUAUUAUCAAUAUCAAUAUGACAGUAAUUGAAUAUUCCAAGAGAAUCUGAUGCAUAAUACAAAACCAAUCAUCAGUAAUGUCCAUAAAUGUUACUGCCUUACGGCACAUUUUUAGCUAUGGUAUGUAAUCAUUGAUACACUAUUUUUGAUGAAGUGAUACUCCCCAUGUCCUUACUACUAGAUUGAUAACACAUCAUGUUCUACUGGUACCCAAAAAUAAAAUGUUGAAACUUAUAUGCAUUUCUUUGCCUUUUUCAGUUUUUCCCUCAAGUUACACGGACUCCCAUAAUAUUUGUUUCAAUGAAAGGUUCUCCUCUAAUGUAUGAUAAAUUCCACUGCAUUCCCUAAUGGCUCUUUUUAAUUGCGUUAACAAAUAACAAUUGUAAAGUUACCAUAUUACCCUCCUAUGAUAAAGGGAGAUUUCUUUAUAACCCUCACCCCAUCGUCCGCACCAUCCUCCCAUCUCAUUCUACUGAAGAUUCCAUUGGUGGUAGAAGGAAAGAAGAAUAUGGCCACCAAUUUCUGCGCAACCACAAGUUAAUCUACCAGCCAAGUCUAGCUCACCAAACUUUAAUCUUUACCUAGUUAACUCCAUUAACUGUUCAAAAAUCUAUAAGGUAUUACACUAUUCCUAAAUGGCAGUUCAAACUUCGGUUUAUCGGCGCUCUUUGAAAAAUGCAUUGUAGAGUGAUUCUGGGUAGUGGCCAACAGAGUCAUGCAACAUUUGAAAUCGUAAAAGAAAACAAUGCUUCUCUCUCUCUAAUUGUUUCAGGGAAGAUCUGUAUUGUUGCUACAUUAGCAUAUCAAUGGUUAUUUGAUUUUGGUGUUAGCAUAAUGGGGUGGGCUAAUUUAUGGGGCUUGGUUUGUGUCUAACGUUACAACUCUUGUGAUGGUGUAAGGGUGGUGGUGGCAAGGGUGAUGGUGUCAUAAUGCCAAAGGACAAGUGGUGGUAUAUGUCUUGGUGAGGGUGGAGUUAGGAUUUUUAGUUGGGGGGCUAAGUGGUAAAAAAAAAAAAAUUAAAUUUUUUUUUGUAAUUUUUAGAAAAUCAGGGGAUUGUUGCUCCUACUGGACCCAUGUAGGUCUGCCCCUGGUCUUGGUUGUGGUGGCGUUAACAUGGCUGAGGAGGAGAUGGGUUUUUGGGAGAGAGAAAGAGAGGUGGGUGGGUGG